UUUUUUAUGAGAGUUUGAUCCUGGCUCAGGAUGAACGCUGGCGGCGUGCCUAACACAUGCAAGUCGAGCGAUUCUCUUCGGAGAAGAGCGGCGGACGGGUGAGUAACGCGUGGGUAACCUGCCUCAU
rnacentral:rRNA from 1 species